rnacentral:rRNA from 1 species
AUUGAACGCUGGCGGCAUGCUUUACACAUGCAAGUCGAACGGUAACAGGCCUUCGGGUGCUGACGAGUGGCGAACGGGCGAGUAAUGCAUCGGAACGUACCCAGAGGUGGGGGAUAACGCAGCGAAAGGUGUGCUAAUACCGCAUGUGAUCUGAGGUUGAAAGCGGGGGACCGAGCAGCAAUGUUUGGCCUCGCGCCUUUGGAGCGGCCGAUGUCGGAUUAGCUAGUUGGUGGGGUAAAGGCCUACCAAGGCGACGAUCCGUAGCUGGUCUGAGAGGACGACCAGCCACACUGGGACUGAGACACGGCCCAGACUCCUACGGGAGGCAGCAGUGGGGAAUUUUGGACAAUGGGCGCAAGCCUGAUCCAGCAAUGCCGCGUGCGGGAAGAAGGCCUUCGGGUUGUAAACCGCUUUUGGCAGGAACGAAACGGUGUCCGCUAAUACCGGGCGCUAAUGACGGUACCUGCAGAAUAAGCACCGGCUAACUACGUG